AUACGGAGGAUGCAAGCGUUAUCCGGAUUUAUUGGGUUUAAAGGGUGCGUAGGCGGGACUGUAAGUCAGGGGUGAAAUACUGCAGCUUAACUGUAGCAUUGCCUUUGCAACUGCCGUUCUUGAGUACAGUUGAGGUAGGCGGAAUUUGGUGUGUAACGGUUCAAUGCAUAGAUAUACCACAGAACGCCGAUUGCGAAGGCAGCUUACUAAGCUGUUACUGACGCUGAGGCACGAAAGCGUGGGGAUCAAACAGGAUUAGAUACCCUGGUAGUCCACGCUGUAAACGAUGAUUACUGGUUGUUAGCGAUAUAUAGCUAGUGACUGAGCGAAAGCAUUAAGUAAUCCACCUGGGGAGUACGUCGGCAACGAUGAAACUCAAAGGAAUUGACGGGG
rnacentral:rRNA from 1 species